rnacentral:misc_RNA from 1 species
GUAUGAUGUCCUUGGUCAGGAAUAUCCCCAUUCAUUGUAUCACUGUUCUCAAAAUGUUCAAAGUCCUGAUGAUACUUCACCUUGGAGUAGCAGUGUUGAUAGCANGCUAUCCAGCUGCUGUUAAUACUUCAGUUGAAAAUUCAAAUUGGAUUUUUGAUCGAGUUGAUUUAGAUUUACAUGGAAUCCAAAGUUCUCUUAUUGACUCCCCUGAAAGUGCCCUUGGAGGACCAGAUUUCCACAGUGAGAUACAACCAUUAACAGUGGUCAGGCAAGGGAUAGGAGAUGGUGAUUCUUUGGUAUUGGCACCAAAGAGCAGCCCAGAAACUGAGAGAGAUUCCUCACCGAAUAGUUCACGGGGACGGAAAAAUCAUCAACGUGAGGAUGGUGAUUAUUU